rnacentral:rRNA from 1 species
AGAGUUUGAUCCUGGCUCAGGACGAACGCUGGCGGCGUGCCUAACACAUGCAAGUCGAACGGAACUGUUUUGAAAGAUUUCUUCGGAAUGAAUUUGAUUUAGUUUAGUGGCGGACGGGUGAGUAACGCGUGAGUAACCUGCCUUCAAGAGGGGGAUAACAUUCUGAAAAGAAUGCUAAUACCGCAUGACAUAUCGGAACCACAUGGUUCUGAUAUCAAAGAUUUUAUCGCUUGAAGAUGGACUCGCGUCCGAUUAGUUAGUUGGUGAGGUAACGGCUCACCAAGGCGAUGACGGGUAGCCGGUCUGAGAGGAUGUCCGGCCACACUGGAACUGAGACACGGUCCAGACACCUACGGGUGGCAGCAGUCGAGAAUCAUUCACAAUGGGGGAAACCCUGAUGGUGUGACGCCGCGUGGGGGAAUGAAGGUCUUCGGAUUGUAAACCCCUGUCAUGUGGGAGCAAAUUAAAAAGAUAGUACCACAAGAGGAAGAGACGGCUAACUCUGUGCCAGCAGCCGCGGUAAUACAGAGGUCUCAAGCGUUGUUCGGAAUCACUGGGCGUAAAGCGUGCGUAGGCUGUUUCGUAAGUCGUGUGUGAAAGGCGCGGGCUCAACCCGCGGACGGCACAUGAUACUGCGAGACUAGAGUAAUGGAGGGGGAACCGGAAUUCUCGGUGUAGCAGUGAAAUGCGUAGAUAUCGAGAGGAACACUCGUGGCGAAGGCGGGUUCCUGGACAUUAACUGACGCUGAGGCACGAAGGCCAGGGGAGCGAAAGGGAUUAGAUACCCCUGUAGUCCUGGCAGUAAACGGUGCACGCUUGGUGUGCGGGGAAUCGACCCCCUGCGUGCCGGAGCUAACGCGUUAAGCGUGCCGCCUGGGGAGUACGGUCGCAAGAUUAAAACUCAAAGAAAUUGACGGGGACCCGCACAAGCGGUGGAGUAUGUGGCUUAAUUCGAUGCAACGCGAAGAACCUUACCUGGGCUUGACAUGUAAUGAACAACAUGUGAAAGCAUGCGACUCUUCGGAGGCGUUACACAGGUGCUGCAUGGCCGUCGUCAGCUCGUGUCGUGAGAUGUUUGGUUAAGUCCAGCAACGAGCGCAACCCCUGUUGCCAGUUACCAGCACGUGAAGGUGGGGACUCUGGCGAGACUGCCCAGAUCAACUGGGAGGAAGGUGGGGACGACGUCAGGUCAGUAUGGCCCUUAUGCCCAGGGCUGCACACAUACUCCAACGCUUGUGCGGGUCCCCGUCAAUUUCUUUGAGUUUUAAUCUUGC